rnacentral:sRNA from 1 species
AGCCGACAGCGUUGCCCGUCGAGACGUUGUCGCUGAUCUCGCUGUCGUUCGUGUACAUGUAGUGCACUGCGAACCGCAAUUCACGAAAGC